AUGGUACCUGAGCAGGCGCUGGCGGCGGCGGGGAGAUCGAGCCGGCAGACGGAAGGCAGCAGCACGGCGCGGGACAUAUUCACGGCGACUGGGGACCUGCCGGAGCCGGACUGGCUGAGCGCCUGGCAGAGGCACAGCGGCUGGUCGUGCACCAUGCUCCCCAGGUUGGCGCAGCACGUGUCGGGCGGCGCGGCGGCGCCGCCGUCGAGGAACGAGAGGCAGGGGAGGAGGCGUAGGAGCUCGGUGGUGCAGCUGGACGACGACGACCCCGUCGUCUGUGGUUCAGGCGCCGGAUGGGCACGGGGCAGGGAAACCAGCAGCAGCGCGACGCAGAAUGCAGUAGCCGAAGCCGCCAUCGGUGCCAUCGUGCUGCUCUCUGCAAGUUUGCCUGUGAAGAAUCUGAUCGAGUGA
rnacentral:rRNA from 1 species